GUUGACUAGUGAUUUAUUCUAGCCUGUAACCAUCCUGCAAUUAGUAUAUUCUUGAGGUUUAUUUUGCGUAUGACUGUCUUGCUUGUAUAAGUGUUUUUGUGGCCCCCAUGUACUUGAUGAUUUGGUGUUUAGAAGAAGGCGGCAAAGGAUCCCUCCUGGACCUAGAGAUAGAAAUGUUUAUAGGUCACCAUGUAGGUUCUGGGAACCAAGCCUGGGUCCUCUGCAAGAGCAACAAGACAUCUUGUCUACAGAGCCAUCGUUCUACUUACUGGCAUGAAUGUUCCUGUCAUCUUAAGGAAAAGAUGGAGAAAAGAACUUGUGCCCUCUGCCCUGAAGGCCAUGAGUGGAGUCAGAUAUACUUUGUACCUUCAGCGAAUAUAGCUGCUCAUGAAAACUGUUUGCUGUAUUCCUCGGGACUGGUGGAGUGUGAGGCCCACGAGUCAUGUAAUGUGGCUAGACAUUUUGAUGUGAGAUCAGUACUGGAGAAGAUCUGGAGAGGAAGCAUGCUGAUAUGCUCAUUUUGUAAGAACAAAGGAGCCGUCGUGGAGUGUGGGGAAACAUCCUGUGCCAAGAAUUACCACUUACUCUGUGCCAAGGAGGACCAUGCAGUUCUACAAGCUGGAGUGACAAGAACAUACAAAGUAUUUUGCUCAGAACAUUGUUCAAAACAAGAAGAGACCACUGAAAGUGCUGAUAGCCCAAGCAUGAAGAAGAGGAGAGGAAGGAAGAAACGCCUCUCAUCAGGCCCUCCCACAGAGCCAAAAAUGGUGAAAUUCAUGAGAUCCAAAAGACGCAUGACAGGAGAGCCUCUCAGCCACAGAGAUGCAGCUGCCAAAGCUCCUUUUCUUAAGAAAUGCAAGGAAGCAGGACUUCUUACUGAACUAUUUGAACAGAUCCUAGACAAAAUGCAUUCGAUUCAUGGAAGAUUCAUGGAUGAGACUGCCUCAGAGUCAGACUAUGAAGGGAUCGAGACCUUACUCUUUGGCUGUGGAUUAUUUAAAGACAUACUAAGAAAAUUCCAAGAAGUAAUCAAGAGCAAAGUGUGUGAAUCUGAAGGAAGGCAGAGGCAGAUGAAGCAGCAGCUGGAGGCACUUGCAGACUUACAACAAAGCUUGUCCUCAUUUCAAGACAAUGGAGACCUGGACCACUCAAGCUCUGCUUCAGGAUCCUCGCUACCUCCUGAGGACCACCAGGUCAGAUGCCAGGGGUCUCCUGAAGUGCAAGCAGGCUCAGGAGACAGCCUGUGACAGACCCACAGUCCCUCCCACUCUGCCCUGCUGCAGCUCAUCCAUGCUCAGAACCUGACUGGGUGUUUCUUGUCUCUUCUCACCUCACUUGUCCUGCUUUCCCCUGACAGUAAAAGCUGUUCUUCAGUCAACUGGAUCAGGCCUCCAUGUUCUCCAAGGAUCGAGGAAGUCUUCCUCCCCACCCUACACACCCCAGUCAAGGCAGCAACCCCAGAGCCUGUGCUCAUCCUUUUGUGGCAUCUUAGAGCUUUCUCUUGCUUCCUCUGCUCCUGCAGAAGGUCUCAUCAUGGUCUCCUCUCAGUAUUAAUAACUCCAUCACAGUAGAGCAGACUCACUCCUGUGCAUUGCUCGCUGUGACCAUGGGUUUCUGCUCAUUACCACAUUCCCAGUGUUUAGCACAUGUAAUAAAUGCUUGUCAAAACCA